rnacentral:rRNA from 1 species
CAGCCGCCGCGGGAAUACGGAGGAUCCGAGCGUUAUCCGGAAUUAUUGGGUUUAAAGGGUGCGUAGGCGGACAGAUAAGUCAGUGGUGAAAGACGGUGGCUCAACCAUCGCAGUGCCGUUGAUACUGUUUGUCUUGAAUAUGGAUGAGGUAGGCGGAAUGUGGCAAGUAGCGGUGAAAUGCAUAGAUAUGCCACAGAACACCGAUUGCGAAGGCAGCUUACCAAGGCAAUAUUGACGCUGAGGCACGAAAGCGUGGGGAUCGAACAGGAUUAGAGACCCCUGUAGUCCCUGUCUCUUAUAC